AUUGAACGCUGGCGGCAGGCCUAACACAUGCAAGUCUAACGAGUGGCGGACGGGUGAGUAAUGUCUGGGAAACUGCCUGAUGGAGGGGGAUAACUACUGGAAACGGUAGCUAAUCCCGCAUCCCAUCGGCUGUGCCCAGAUGGGAUUAGCUAGUAGGUGGGGUAAAGGCUCACCUAGGCGACGAUCCCUAGCUGGGCGGAGAGGAUGACGAGCCAAACUGGAAUGGAGACACGGUCCAGACUCCUACGGGAGGCAGCAGUGGUGAAGAUGGCACAAUGGGAGCAAGACUGAUGCAGCCAUGCCGCGUGUAUGAAGAAGGCCUUCGGGUUGUAAAGUACUUUCAGCGGGGAGGCGUUACCCGCAGAAGAAGCACCGGAUAACUCCGUGCCAGCAGCCGCGGUAAUUC
rnacentral:rRNA from 1 species